AUGAGCAAGAGAUCUAAGACAUGGACUCCAACGCGGACCUCCAUGGUGGGUUCUGCUGCUCUCCAGCUCAAAGUAGACUACGAGCAAGUCAAACAGCUUCCUACGGGCACGGCCGUCCACUCAGACGUCUUCUCCGCCGCGGGGCACAGUUGGAGGAUUGACUGCUACCCGCAUGGGUCCGAUAAGGACGACACGGGCGAGUUUUUCUCUAUCUUCGUCAGGCACAUGAGCAAAACCACAAGAGUCAAAGCCAUCGUGGAGGCCUUUCUGAUGGACAGGAAUGGCGAACCAUGUAAAGCUUUCACAAGAAGGUCAUGUGUUCAUGACUUCUCAAUCAACAACGACGGUGAUGAUAAAAAUUGCAGUGGUGAUGAUGCUGACGAUGACGGUGACAACUGGGGGUGGAGCAAGUUCGUCCAAGGAGCUACUUUGGAGAAAUAUUACGUCACAGAAGGACACGUCACAUUUGGGUGCACCGUCAUGGUCUUAUUAGAUGACGGCUCUAUUCCCGUGCCACCUUCAGAUAUCGGGAUCCAUCUCGGCUCCGUGCUAGAUCGCAACGACGGGACUGAUAUAUCAUUCAUCGUCGAAGGUGAGACAUUCGGUGCGCACCGGGUGGUGCUUGCCGCCCGCUCACCGGUAUUUAGAGCAGAGCUCUUCGGUUCCAUGGCUGAGGCUACAAGGACAUCCAUCACACUACACGACAUCACGCCUAAGACAUUCAAAGUUAUGCUUCGAUUUCUAUACACUGAUGAAUUGCCUGCAGAAAUUGAGCUUGGUGAUUCUUCCAAUGAGAUGUUUCAGAAUCUACUUAUUGCAGCUGAUCGCUAUGCACUUGACCGCCUGAAGAUUAUUUGUGCUAAAAAAUUAUGGGACAAUGUAUCGAUAGAUACAGUUUCAACUACUUUAGCUUGCGCCGAAACAUAUAAUUGUCCGCAAUUGAAGAGCAAUUGCAUUGACUUCUUGUUAUUGGAG
rnacentral:rRNA from 1 species